GACGAAGGAUGCAAGCGUUAUCCGGAUUCAUUGGGUUUAAAGGGAGCGUAGGUGGUCUACUAAGUCAGUGGUGAAAUCUCUCGGCUUAACUGAGAAAUUGCCAUUGAUACUGGUGGACUUGAGUGUAGUUGCCGUUGGCGGAAUAUGACAUGUAGUGGUGAAAUACAUAGAGAUGUCAUAGAACACCGAUUGCGAAGGCAGCUAACGAAACUAUAACUGACACUGAGGCUCGAAAGUGCGGGGAUCAAACAGG
rnacentral:rRNA from 1 species